UCAAGAGGAGAUUAAAAGGUGACUAGGAAAGGACGUGUGCUGAGAUCUACAGGAACUCAAAGCUAGUGACUUUCACACAAAAGUGCAGCAACAUUUCAGACAACGGAUUGGCACUAAGGAUGCAACGCUGACGGUGCAGCUUGGCUGGCGUCCAACAAGAAGACGACCGCAUAGACUACGAUCAAGGCGCUCUCACCGCCACAUUGAGUUAAGAUCCCGGCUGCCCUUUUAGAUCCGAUUGGCGUAUUGAUCGGCGAUUUUCAUCAGCAGACAGUAUUGAGGUGGCCCUUGGCAAAGGCUUAGUACCUGACUGCCCCCUAGCCAGGGAUACGGUGAAGACCUCAACGGCGGAGCAGACGGAAGAUGGUAGAUGUAAGAACCACCACAAC